rnacentral:lncRNA from 1 species
GUCUCAUCACUGUGACAUGAUGGGGAUAGUUUUAGUUAGUAGACCGUGCCCGGCUGCUCCUGAGAAGGGCUUGCAGCACUCAACUCUUGCUUAUCCURGCAAAUGUGGCUGGAAACUUGGGUGUUACCUCUGUCAAGAUGAUGCACAAAGUACACCUGUGUGGACUCUACCUGCACAGUGAGUUGCUAAAGCACUUUGCUCUGCAAGCUGAAGGUCACAUCUUGACUGGAUUGAAAGCRCUCCAGGGUUAGGAAGGGAUUCCURCAUGUACUGUGGUCACAUCUCUYGAUGGCAGUGUAGACAUUUCCUUAAUAGGGAAAUAGGGAAGCUGAAUGCGGCUUAUACACAGUACCUCAGUKCUAUAGGAAUCAACUCACCGUGUGUAAGGACAUCUGAAUAGAAGAAUAAGUUGCAAGAGACUGGGAAAAAGAUACUGAAGUCAGGCUAGAAAUAAUGGAUAACUGGCAUAUGAUGAGAGCACAUGGUAACAGGCUGAAGAGGAGAAAGAAUAAGCAAGCAACAUAUAAGGAUGUCGCCGUUCCUGAAGAACGUGCAGCAUCUUUCGGUAGUCAUGGGUGAACGUCUUUGACUGCAGCRCCAGUCUGGGAACUAGGAACCAGGGCCACUACCUGAACAGGAACCCUCUGCCCAGGUGGGAAGGACCUCUUUGAAAAGUCAACAAAGUCCAUGUGCUCAUGUCCUGCUGGCCACUCAGCAGAAAUGAAAGACCACCUCCCAGAGCUGCAGAGAUCCCAGAUGGUUUCGGAACAGAGAGAAAGCUGAAGAGGCAGGACAUGUCCCCUCAACACAUAGGAUUGGACAAGGGCUUCUGCUGUCCUUCCUGCCUCUCAGGAUUUAUGGCGCACGUGCUCUGCCAUGAGUCUACUCCUAGUUCUGUCCAGGAAAUACCAGGCAAAAAUAUUGCAGCUCUGGAGAAAAUGCUGAGACAGUACCAGAAGAUGAUCUGCACCGUGCUGCGGGCAGCGAAACGGAAGCUGACCAGACAGGCCAUCUGGCAAGGCUUCUCAGUGCCUCGUAGGACUGGGUCUGCUCUUCUUCUGACUGAAAUUCUUCAGGAAGCAUCAGGCUGUAGCUAGCUCCACAUAAGGGGUCCAGAGAACUAGAUGCCUUUGGUUUCCAACCCAAGGUCAGUGGAGAGGACACAAUUGGAAUGUGUAUAAAGACAGCUGCCAUUCUUAAUAGUCUUCUCGCUAUGGUUCACUCUAUUGUUCAAUAUGUGGACUGAAAGGAUGGAGAACUGGCUGAACUGCAAGGCCCAAAGGGCUGUGAUCAGCAAGUCCAACUGGCAGCUGUUAAAAGUGGCAUUCCUCACUGGUCGGUAUGGUUUAAUAUCCUUAUGGAAGAUCUGGAUGAUGGACUGAAUACACCCUCAGCAAGUCUGUGGAUGUUCCCAAGCUGGAGAAAGUGAAGGAAAUGCUGGAGGGCAGGGCUGCUAUUCAGAGGGACCUGGAGAAACAGCCUAAGAAGAACAUYGUGAGGAACAUCAUGAAGCUCAGCAAAGGCAAAUGCUAAGUUCUGCAUUUGGGAUGGACCAGCCCCAGGCAAGAGAACAUUCUGGGACUGACUGGUUAGAAAGCAGUUUUGCAGAAAAGGGUCGGGGGGUUCUGGUGGACAACAUGUGGAACAUGAGUUAGCAGUGUGCUCUUGCAGCAAAGACCAACUGCAUCCUGGGCUGUAUUUGUGAGAGUGUAGCCAGCAGGGCCAAGGAAGGGAUUGUUCCCCUCUAUUAGGCACUGAUGAGACCACAUCUGGAGUGCUGUGUCUAGUUUGGGCUCCCCAGUGCAAGACAGACAUUGAUAUACUGUGGCAAGUCCAGUGGGGGUCACCAAGACAGUCAGACRCUGAAGCACAUGCUGUAUGAGAAGAGGCAGAAGGAGAUGGGUUUGUUCAGCCUGGAGAAUAAAAGGUAAAGGAGGGAUCUUAUUGCUGUCUAC